AGGCUACUCAGAUUUAACUUUUAGGUUUCUGCAGUUAAAGUGAGAGACAAACUCUAACAUUGAUCCCUUUCCAGAAUUUGUCCUCUCAUCAUUGUGAAUUCUACUUUCCUUCAGUCUUUUUCCUGUUGUUGAAUCAACACUGAUCUUCUCAGUGCUUCAUGCUUUCUCCAAAAUAGUAAAGUUUUCCCCAAAGUUUAAAGUUUUUUACAGUGCACAGCCAGGCUCCAAGAGUUGCUCCAACAUGGUAAAUUGUUUUGUUACCUUUAAAAUUAUCUACAGCUUUUGAUGCUCUCUGUUCACUAAUGUUCAUUAACAUACAGUACAUGUCUUGUAAUUGAUAAGCUUAUAAAUGAUCAAUGUGAAGCAUCAGUAUGCGUUCAAGAAGAUCACAUCAGUCAGAUUAAAUAAAAUAUCAUGAUACUCAAAGCAAUCAAAAUUAUAGUUCACAGAAAGGUAAUGUUUCCUUUUCAGGGAGCUUAGACUGUAUGAAAAGAACGAUUGAAAUAUACUAUGAAAAUAUUCAAUUUGCAGAAUCCUGAUGAUUAAACUUCAAUUGUGAACUGAAUGAUUAGAUUGUAUCUAGACACAAAAGAAUCAACUGUUAAUUAGUAACCAUACUAUGGAAAUGACCACCAAGAUCUGAACAAACAAGAAACUUGACUAUCUCAAGAGAUUUCUCACGUAAUGAACCGUCUGACUUUCUUUAGUCGACUAAAUUUAAUCUUACCACAUUUUUGCUGUAGAGCAAACAGGUACUGAGUUUGAAGCCUGGAUCAGAUGCCUCCAGCCGUCUGCUAAAGCUAGACUCCGGCCUUUCUCACUGUAAAAUAAAACAUUCUGCUUAAUUAAAGAGUUCAAGUGAACAUCACUUCAUUCUCAUCAACUUGUUGUUUGUUCUCAUCUUAAACAAGCGGCAGGAACUUUUGGAUUUAAAAAAGA